GGUUAAAUUCACCACACUCUUCGUAACCAACCAAAAUGCAAUGUAGGAAUAUCUUAAAAAGAUAAUAAAAAUAAAAAAUUAAAUAGCUGAAAAAAAAACAAGACCGACAUUAAUUAGCGCCAUCUGCAAAAUUCUAAAUUAUAAAAACCUAAACUCUAAAAACAUAAACCCUAAAUCUAAAACACUAAACCAUAAACCUCAAUCCUAAAAUCUAAACCCUAAAUCUUAAACCCUAAACUCAAACUCUACACAAUAAACCUUAAAUCCUAAAAUCUAAACCCUAAAGCCUAAACCCUAAACUCUAAACCCUAAACUCUAAAUCAUAAAAUCUAAACCUUAAAUUCUAAACCCUAAACCCAAAACUUUAAAUCUUAAACCCAAACCCUAAACCCUAAACCCUAAAUCCUAAACCCUAAACCCAAAACUUUAAAUCUUAAACCCAAACCCUAAAUCAUAAACCC
rnacentral:lncRNA from 1 species